rnacentral:rRNA from 1 species
CCUACGGGUGGCAGCAGUGAGGAAUAUUGGUCAAUGGCCGGAAGGCUGAACCAGCCAAGCCGCGUGAAGGACGAAGGUGCCAAGCAUUGUAAACUUCUUUUGUCAGGGGACAAAAUCAGGCACGAGACCCUGACCGAGUGUACUUGAAGAAAAAGCAUCGGCUAACUCCGUGCCAGCAGCCGCGGUAAUACGGAGGAUGCGAGCGGUGUCCGGAUUUAUGGGGUUUAAGGGGUGCGUCGGCGGACUGUUAAGGCAGAGGUAAAAGCCCGGGGCUCAACCCCGGCUAGCCGUUGAAACUGGCAGUCUUGAGAUGUAGAGAGGUAUGCGGAAUGCGUAGUGGAGCGGUGAAAUGCUUAGAUA